CCCAUGAUCUUGGCGGCCGUGGAGGCGCCGACGAUGACGGAGAGGUUGGGGGCGAUGAAGGACAUGCGGGACUCCACGUAUUCGUAGAUGCGGUGCUUGGCCUGGCUGAGCUGCAGCGCCAUAUCGCACGCCUCCUCGAUGCGCUGCAGCUCCUCCUCCGACAGCUGCUGCCCCUGCGUGGUGGAGGCGGUGACGCUGACCACCAUAAUGGUGGCGUUGGUGAGGAUCUGCUGCACGUUCUCAUUGUUC
rnacentral:lncRNA from 1 species